rnacentral:tRNA from 1 species
GCCCUCGUAGUCCAAGUGGCAGGAGACAACGGUCAGAGACGCCGUGCAGUGCAGGUUCGAAUCCUGUCGGGGGCA